rnacentral:sRNA from 1 species
AUCAGGGGAACAAAGGCUAAGUGCGCCACGUCAAUAGCCAACGCCUUUGUGACCUGCAUCCCGCAGG